GGAACAAUAGCAAAGUUGGUCUAUGCGUCGGAUUGAAGCUCCGAAGAUACUGGUUCGAUCCCAGUUUGUUCCA
rnacentral:tRNA from 1 species